rnacentral:rRNA from 1 species
GUGGGGAAUAUUGGACAAUGGGGGGAACCCUGAUCCAGCCAUGCUGCGUGUGUGAAGAAGGCCUUUUGGUUGUAAAGCACUUUAAGCGAGGAGGAGGCUACCGAGAUUAAUACUCUUGGAUAGUGGACGUUACUCGCAGAAUAAGCACCGGCUAACUCUGUGCAAGCAGCCGCGGUAAUACAGAGGGUGCAAGCGUUAAUCGGAUUUACUGGGUGUAAAGCGCGCGUAGUUGGCCAAUUAAGUCAAAUGUGAAAACCUCGAGCUUAACUUGGGAAUUGCAUUCGAUACUGGUUGGCUAGAGUAUGGGAGAGGAUGGUAGAAUUCCAGGUGUAGCGGUGAAAUGCGUAGAGAUCUGGAGGAAUACCGAUGGCGAAGGCAGCCAUCUGGCCUAAUACUGACACUGAGGUGCGAAAGCAUGGGGAGCAAACAGGAUUAGAUACCCUGGUAGUCC